AGCAGGAAGGAGCUCUUCGCCUUUUGGAACAUCAAUGAGAGAUAGUUGCCACAGUCACUAGGUCUAGCAUUUAGACCUGCAAGGAAGGGCAAUAAGCAUUAGGUUGAAUGAGAACCCUACUUGCCUAAAUGAGGAAUGUCUUUCCUACCAUCUAAAAUACGAAGGUUUCUGGCUGGGUAAGGUUUGUAGUUGACAGUAAAACCUGAUGACACCAUUUGUUUCCCUGCAAGUCUACAUUACAUAUUUCACAACUUUGUCCCUCUCUAGUAGGCACAUUGGAAAAAUUCUUCAACUGAAAACUACCUUGGUACCAUGUCCUA
rnacentral:lncRNA from 1 species